CUAGAAAAACAGGCAUUGAACCCAUACCUGAGAAUUCAAAAAUCUCCGUGCUACCAAAUACACCAUAAUCUA
rnacentral:tRNA from 1 species